rnacentral:rRNA from 1 species
CGAGUGGCGGACGGGUGAGUAAUGUCUAGGGAAACUGCCGAUGGAGGGGGAUAACUACUGGAAACGGUAGCUAAUACCGCAUAACGUCGCAAGACCAAAGAGGGGGACCUUGGGCCUCUUGCCAUCGGAUGUGCCCAGAUGGGAUUAGCUAGUAGGUGGGGUAACGGCUCACCUAGGCGACGAUCCCUAGCUGGUCUGAGAGGAUGACCAGCCACACUGGAACUGAGACACGGUCCAG